rnacentral:rRNA from 1 species
GUGUGUGAAGAAGGCCUUUUGGUUGUAAAGCACUUUAAGCAGUGAAGAAGACUCUUCGGUUAAUACCCGGAGACGAUGACAUUAGCUGCAGAAUAAGCACCGGCUAACUCUGUGCCAGCAGCCGCGGUAAUACAGAGGGUGCAAGCGUUAAUCGGAAUUACUGGGCGUAAAGGGAGCGUAGGUGGCUCGAUAAGUCAGAUGUGAAAUCCCCGGGCUCAACCUGGGAACUGCAUCUGAUACUGUUGAGCUAGAGUAUGUGAGAGGAAGGUAGAAUUCCAGGUGUAGCGGUGAAAUGCGUAGAGAUCUGGAGGAAUACCGAUGGCGAAGGCAGCCUUCUGGCAUAAUACUGACACUGAGGCUCGAAAGCGUGGGUAGCAAACAGGAUUAGAUACCCUGGUAGUCCACGCCGUAAACGAUGUCUACUAGUCGUUGGGUCCCUUGAGGACUUAGUGACGCAGCUAACGCAAUAAGUAGACCGCCUGGGGAGUACGGCCGCAAGGUUAAAACUCAAAUGAAUUGACGGGGGCCCGCACAAGCGGUGGAGCAUGUGGUUUAAUUCGAUGCAACGCGAAGAACCUUACCUGGUCUUGACAUAUCUAGAAUCCUGCAGAGAUGCGGGAGUGCCUUCGGGAAUUAGAAUACAGGUGCUGCAUGGCUGUCGUCAGCUCGUGUCGUGAGAUGUUGGGUUAAGUCCCGCAACGAGCGCAACCCUUGUCCUUAGUUACCAGCGGGUUAAGCCGGGAACUCUAAGGAUACUGCCAGUGACAAACUGGAGGAAGGCGGGGACGACGUCAAGUCAUCAUGGCCCUUACGACCAGGGCUACACACGUGCUACAAUGGUAGGUACAGAGGGCAGCUACACAGCGAUGUGAUGCGAAUCUCAAAAAGCCUAUCGUAGUCCAGAUUGGAGUCUGCAACUCGACUCCAUGAAGUAGGAAUCGCUAGUAAUCGCGGAUCAGAAUGCCGCGGUGAAUACGUUCCCGGGCCUUGUACACACCGCCCGUCACACCAUGGGAGUUGAUUGCACCAGAAGUGGAUAGCUUAACCUUCGGGG